GACGAACGCUGGCGGCGUGCUUAACACAUGCCAGUCGAACGGAAAGGCCCUGCUUUUGUGGGGUGCUCGAGUGGCGAACGGGUGCGUAACACGUGAGUAACCUGCCCUUGACUUUGGGAUAACUUCAGGAAACUGGGGCUAAUACCGGAUAGCAGCUCCUGCUGCAUGGUGGGGGUUGGAAAGUUGCGGCGGUUGGGGAUGGACGCGCGGCUUAUCAGCUUGUUGGUGGGGUAGUGGCUUACCAAGGCUGUGACGGGUAGCCGGCCUGUGAGGGUGACCGGGCACAUUAGGACUGAGAUACGGACCAGAGGCCAACGGGAGGCAGCAGUGGGGAAUAUGGCACAAUGGGAGGAAGCCUGAUGCAGCAACGCCGGGUGCGGGAUGACGGCCUGCGGGUUGUAAACAGCAGUCGCCUGUGACGAAGCGGGAGUGACGGUAAUGGGUAAAGAAGCACCGGCUAACUACGUG
rnacentral:rRNA from 1 species